rnacentral:sRNA from 1 species
AUGGUGAGUCUUCUUAGGACAGGGAAGUCAGCCCUCUCAUGCGCAGAACCCCUGUGGCACCUGGCCGGCCUUCACACCAGGUCUUCACACCCCUCGUGAGACCAGCCAGGAAAUGGGGGCCCCCAGGGGAGGCUGUAUAGCCCAGUGCCAGGGAGAGCCCAGCACCCGCUGGGGAAGGCCAUGCAGCCCAGUGCCCGGGAGAGACAGGAACCCCCUACAGGAAGGCAGUGCAGCCCAGUGCCCAGGAGAGAUGGGAACCCCCCAGGGAAGGCCGUACAGCCCAGUGCCCAGGAGAGAUGGGAACCCCCCAGGGAAGGCCGUGCAGCCCAGUGCCUGGGAGAGACAGGCACCCCCCAGGGAAGGCUGUGCAGUCCAGUGCCCGGGAGAGACAGGCACCCCCCAGGGAAGGCCGUGCAGUCCAGUGCCUGGGAGAGACGGGCACCCCCUUGGGAAGGCCGUGCAGCCCAGUAACCCCCAGGAAGGCCAUGCAGCCCAGUGCCCUGGAGAGCUGGUGCCCUGUGACUGGGGUGGGGAAGGGGCUACGUGGGGCUUGCCUGAGUCCUCCCUCCACCCGCACCCAGAGACCUUUAUGGGAGACACCUCCUCUCCAGGACCCCGGGGGCAGGGGUGAUACUGCAGAGGUGGCUCUGGGCUUCCUCCCCCUCCCCUGCCAGGUUCUGCUUCACUCUUGCAGCCUGGGCAGGGGCGUGGGGUGUGGAAGGAGAAGCAAGUGGCCCCUUAUCUUCAAUCCUUGCUGGAAGCUGCAGUCCCUGAGCCUAACCGGGCCACAAGAAUGCAGAACCAGCUGAAAAGAGGCCAGGGCCACUGCCCUCUCCCCGCCCUUGGCGCCAGCAUGGCAGCCACGAUCUUUCUGGUGCCGCGGCCUCUGACUCUGUGGGAAGAAGCAUCCCCGGACUUGCCUCUCUCCUCAGAGCCCCAGUUCCACGGAGGGAAGGUGGCUUCCAUGCCUGUCUCUGGGAGUUUUCCUUAAGCAGCUCCUGGAAGGGUGCAGUGGCGUCUCCUGCUGCGGUGACAGUUCCCCUGGGAUGUGGAAGGUCCCAGGCUUUGGAGAACUCUCCCGGAGCAGAGGCCUCCGUCCCCCCAGGGGAGGGGCUGGGCUCCGAUUUGGGGGCCCACAUGCAUGAGUGAGCAAACACCCCAGAGGGUUGGGAGAGCGUCCGCUCGUGCUGGCGGCAGCUGUGUGCUGAUGCUCCAACAUGCUCCGCCUGGGCAUCCCGCACGCCUUAAGUGAGCUGGAGAGGGGUGUGGACGAGGAUGAGGGCUCUCCUGGGGUGAGGGUCCCUCUUCAGUGCCACAUCCAUGCAGACCCGUGUAGACCCAGCCUUUUUCUCCAUAGCCAGGUGGGCUUUAUUUUUCCUUAAACAUCUUAGGUGGUUCUCAAGUCAUCGGAGGCUCGUCUGCUUUUCAUUCUAGCGGUGCAACGCCCCGUUUUAUCGUGUGUCUAAAAGGCGUCCCUGGUCCCGCAUUUUUCCUAGUUUCCUCAGUUACCUCCCGUGACCAUUUGCUGUAAUGAAAGCUGGAAGGAGAGCUCCGUGCUGUACCCACCCACUUCUGUGAAAAGUGGGAACAAGGACACAGAUUUGGAACCAGCGCUGUGCUUUUGUGUUUUGGUAAAUUGUCUUUACCUUCCCUGAGCUGUUUUCUUCCAUUCCUGCGGGAUUGGAUUCAAUUCUAUUUGAUGGUGAUGGCUGUGGACAGUACUAAGUGCCCUCCGAGCUUCUACAGUGGAGCAGCCUGCUCAGUGUCCAGGCCCUGCAGCCCGCGUUGGGGCUGCGGUCCCAGUGCCCCUGCCACUGUGUGGCUGUCGGCAUGGUCCAGCCAGCCUGUGGCUUCGGUGCUUGGAGGGCUGUGGCAAGGGCUGUCUGUGCCUGGCGCGUGGUAAACAUUGUAUCAGUGUGUUGUUUAUUAUUAUUUGUAUGGUUAUUGGGGUUCUCCUUUAAUUUAUCAAUUAUGUUGACAGAAUUUGUGAUAUAACGAUGCCCAUCCAUUCCUAAAAUGAAUCCCAUUAAGAUAUUGUCUGAUUAGUCUUCAUAUAUACUGCUGAUUGCAUUUGUUCAUAUUUGAUUUGGAACAUGAGUUGGAAUUUCUGUCUAGGUAGAAGCUGGAAUUGCUGGGUCACAGCAUGCACCCACCAUCAACCUUCCUGGGUGGCACCGAGUGGCUUUCCUCGGUGAUACGGGCGAGCGGGGCGGGUCACCUGGUGUCGUGUGCUCUCCCACGCUUCCUGGAGCAAUUUUUGCUGGGCUGUGUCUUCACCUCUGGGGGCUGUGGGGUGUGUGCUGCGACUUUCUCCUGCCUCUACCUCCUGGCUGAUGCGCUCGCUCCACUGCCCUUUGGAUCACGGAUUGGCCAUGAGGGUGUCCCUCUGGGAUGUGCCUUUUCAAGACCACUGCCCACUCCUCUGUGAGCAACCCAGAAAUAUUCUCUGCAUAGGAACCCCUUGUCAUUAAACAACUGCAGGGACCUUG